GGCUGCGUGGGGCCACGUGGUGAUGUUGUGGUUGCAUCAGACGGGCGCGGGCAGAUGUUGGGGAGCGCGGCCGCUGCGGGGCUGCGACGGGGACACGGCGACAACGGGCUGCUGCAGGCGUUGACAUCCUAAAGCAAACAGCAUUUGUGCAUCACUCCUGUGCUUAACACCGCUUCUGCCGUGGGGGGUCAGAUCUACGAAAACACGAAGGAAAACAAACCUCCGAGCCAGUCACUAGAUGACAAAUAUUCCAGGAGUCAGUGCGACGACAUCAGCAGCGCACAGAAACGCCGGGGCAGAGCUGCAAACCCCUAAUUAGAUGAGUAAUCCUCAUGUGAGUGCUGAAGUCAUUGGGCCCAGAUCGCUUGAUGUGCACCACAGGACGUUUGGAAAAAGAGCCACAUGGAAUAGCAUCUCCAUGAGGCAGAUUCCAUGUGGACACAUAUAUCUGCCUGGAUUAAUCCCCCUCUGCUGCAUGGGGGCCUUGGAGCGCCCACAGUAUUCCCCUGUGAGGGAGCUGGAAGCCUGCAGCAGUGAAGAUGAUUGAUUUUGGGGAGGAAUUAGGAAAACAUGCAUCUUCAAAACACUGUUUUGGAGGGAAGUGGAUGGUGGGUCAUCCCUAGGACUCAGAGCACAUGAGUGACACUGCAGGGAAUAAUUUUCAAGACAUCAUGUUUGAGGGGAAAACAUCUUAUUUUCCAAGGGGCCUAGUGGGAAGCUCUUAUAAAACCCAAACAUUAAAUAAAAAUUCUGUUUUUGAAUGUC